UUCUUUGAAACAACGCUGAAAAUACAAGAUUAAAAAGUGUUCCAUGCAUUUCAUAAAAUACGGAGAAAGACACUUCAUAAACAAAACAGAAUAAGCAAGCCAAACACCCUCUGAAAAUCCCAGGAGCUCCACUCUCCAGAUUGGACCAUAUUAAUACAAAAAGCAUAUCCAGGAGAAAGAGCAGCCUGAGGAAGUGGUAGGUUAUCUAUCAAUAACUGGGAUAAGUACAUGUCUUGGUCAUCAACCCACAAGAGUUUUGCCAUGACCUUUCUUACUACAAAACCAAACUGAUUCAACUUGCUUUCCUUGCUGCCAGUUCUGGGCAUUGUCUUUGGCUGGGAAACCAGGAUAGCAUAGCAGAAUCCACAUUAAGUUGCUGUCCAGAGAGGUACUAGGGCCCAAAAUGUAGGCAGGUAUGAAAAGGUAUCAGGGCACAGUAGGAGUGAGGGAAUGGCAGCUGUUCUCCUGCUGGCAGCGGGCUGCAGGGACAUGCCCUGUCUUCCUAGGAGCACAGCGGGUGGAAAAUGCACCUGCUGGAAGAAGUAUGGGUAGAAGCAGUGCCCUAGGGUGACUUUAAAACACUUGUAGCUCCAGUUUUCUGUUCUGUUUAUGCUGGAUAUUAAGUUCUGCACCUUUAAGACCCGUUCUGAGAGCAAAGGGCAGGAGAAGCAGUGCAGAGUUUGUUUGCAGAAACUGCACUUGCUCCCCUGCAUUGUCUCUCAAGGACUGUGUUGUCUGCAGCGUGGACAGCAGGACACAGCUCUCCUUUGCCUUUAGUCAGCUUUUUUAGCUAGCUGAGGCAGAGAAGUUCCCCAGACUGUGGUGUUUCUUUUUCUUGGAACUCAUUAGCCCUGCUCUGGACUGAAAACCCAGAAAAACACUGGGAGUUCAUGCCUGUAGCCCACUGAGGCCCGGGAUGCAGCAUUUUCCAGUGCAGGAGGAGAAGACACUGAGCGAGCCGAGCCACACUCCACGAAAAGGACUCUGAAUUUGCCAUCUCGGUAGAACAGUGACAGGUUUUAUUGUUCCAUACAUUCAUUUUUUAUGCUUGUGAAUACUCUGCUUACUAAAUAAACAGACUUUUUCCACUUUUCUCCCAGGAAAUCUUUUCUCCGAGGAAAUCAGCUGGGGGAGGGCCUGCUCUUAUCUGCUUUCAGGAGGGACCUGUUUGGAAGUUUCCUCUCAAAUUUGCCCUAAACCAGGACAAAUACAUUUUUCAUCGCCCAGCACAUGGCUCAAGAAAGUGGAAGAAACCUGUCCUGACUGCAUUUAGGUUGUACUUAUUCUGUAUUGGGAUAAAGCAGUAUCAGUACCCAUGUUUCUUGAAUUCAUGAUGUCUCUUUGGGUGGAGGCCUUCAUGUGUUUCUGGUCCCUAGGCUUUUUUGAGAUUUUAAUACCUUUCUGGUCCCUAGGCUGUUCAGAGGUUUGAAUACCUUUCUGGUCCCUAGGGUUGUUUUCUUAUCCAGAGAUUGCUCCAGUAUUGUCCUUAACAGGUUUUUACAGUAGAGGAGCAUGGAUUCAGGUUGCUAUUGUGCUGGGCUCAGUGAUAAUGAUUUACAGGGAAUUUACAAAGGUACUGGAGUCUGUUCCAGACACGUAUGGUUUAUGGUUUCUUCGUCCUACCCUGUAUCCUCGUUCCAGUAGCGUUUUUGGGGGAUUUAGUAGUAAUUGCACUGGUUUGUUAAAGGAGGAGCAGGGGAUGAGGCUUUUCAGCCUUUCCUUUCUUUCUUCCCCUUUGAAUCUGUUACGACACUUUUGGAGACUGUUCAGUUUGCCCUGAAUGUUAAAGGGACCCCUUUCCUGGUCUUUAAUCUGGUAAGAUUUCUCUGCGUGGAAAAUCCUGAGUGGGGUGGAGAAUGGGAGGAAUGGGCCAAACCCUAAAGGAAUUUUCUGACCCCCAACCAACUGUGAAUUUUCAUGUAAACAAAAUCAGAAUCUAGACAAAGUGGGGAAAUAUCUGGAAAAGAAGCAAUUAUUGAUUAUUCUAAUGAUAACACUUAACAACACUUAACAGGGAGAUUCCAAGUGGGCGCGGAUAAGGUUCAGGCCAAUGGGAUUUCAGACACAGGAUACUUCAGGAGAGGAUUACAGGCUUGGAAUAAACCAUACAGUUGCCUGGGAUGAGACAGAGCAUACCAUUUAACUAAACACCACGAAGGGGGAAGAGCAACAAGUACCAACGGCCAUUUUGACAGUGCACCGCCAACAGUACAGAACAAUUCUAGAUGCUGUGAUCCCCAUUCACAAAAUGAUCCAUGAGCUGGAGAGCCAAGGGGUGGUCAGCAAAACCCACUCACCCUUUAACAGCCCCAUUUGGCCUGUGCGUAAAUCUGAAGGAGAAUGGAGACUGACAGUGGACUACCGUGCAUUGAAUGAAGUGACUCCACCACUGAGCGCUGCUGUGCCAGACAUGUUAGAGCUCCAGGACAAGCUUGAGUCCAAGGCAGCAAAGUGGUACGCCACUGUUGAUAUUGCCAAUGCAUUUUUCUCCAUUCCUCUGGCAGCAGAAUGCAGGCCCCAGUUUGCUUUCACAUGGAGGGGCGCGCAGUACACCUGGAACCGACUGCCCCAGGGGUGAAAACACAGCCCCACCAUCUGCCAGGCUGCACUGGAAAAGGCUGAAGCUCCAGAACAUCUGCAGUACAUCGAUGGCAUCAUUGUGUGGGGGAACACAGCAGCAGACACAUUUGAGAAAGGAGAGAAAAUCACCCAGAUUCUCCUGGAAGCUGGUUUUGCCAUCAAGAAGAGCAAAGUUAAGUGACCUGCCCGAGAGAUCCAGCUCCUGGGAGUGAAGUGGCAAGAUGGACGGCGUCAGAUUCCUACAGAUGUCAUCAACAAGAUCACAGCUAUGUCCCCACCAACCAACAAGAAGGAAACACAACCUUUCCCAGACACCAUAGGAUUUUGGAGAAUGCACAUUCCUGAGUACAGUCAAAUAGUGAACCCUCUUUACCUGGUCACCUGCAAGAAGAACACUUUCCACUGGGGCCCUGAGCAGCAAAAAGCUUUGCCCAGAUCAAGCAGAAAUCACUCAUGCAGUACCCUUGGCCCAGUCAGGACGGGACCAGAUGUGAAGAACGUGCUCUACUCUGCAGCUGGGAACCAUGGUCUGUCCUGGAGCCUUUGGCAGAAGGUGCCUGGUGAGGGUCAAGGCCGACCAUUAGGAUUUUGGAGUUGAAGGGGCUGGAGUUGAAGUUACAGAGGGUCUGAGGCCAACUACACCCCCACAGAGAAGGAAAUUUUAGCAGCCUAUGAAGGAGCUCAUGCUGCCUCAGAAGUAAAAAAGACUGAACAACUCCUCCUGGCACCUCAACUACCAGUGCUGGGGUGGAUGUACAAAGUGAAGGUUCCCUCUACCCACCAUGUCACAUGGAGCAAGCCCUCAUCACACAGGGCGCCUGUAUUGGUAAACUGAACCACCCUGGGAUUUUGGAAAUAAUUACAAAUUGGCCUGAAGGUGGAAAAUUUGGUCUCAUGGAUGAAGAGGAACAAGAGCAAGUGACACAUGCUGAAGAAGCUCCACCAUACAACCAACAGCCAGCAGAAGAAACAUGUUACACUCUUUUUACUGAUGGUUCUUGUCACAUCGUAGGGAUGACCCGGAAGUGGAAAGCAGCUGCAUGGAGCCCCACAGGACAGGUCACAGAGGCUAUUGAAGGUGGAUCAAGCCAGCUUGCUGAACUCAAAGCCGUUCAACUGGCUCUGGACAUUGCUGAAAGAGAGAAGUGGCCAAAGCUCUACCUCUACACUGAUUCAUGGAUGGUAGCCAAUGCUCUGUGGGGAUGGCUGGAGAGGAGGAAAAAAGCCAAUUGGCAGCAUAGGGGAAAAACCAAUUUGGGCUGCUGAAGAGUGGAAAGACAUUACAACCAGGGUAGAGGAACUAUCUGUGAAAGUCUGCCACGUAGAUGCCCAUAUCCCCAAGAGUAGAGCUAAUGAGGAGUACCAAAAAAACAAGCAAGUAAAUCAGGCUGCAAAUAUAGAGGUCUCAGAGAUAGAUUUAGUGGGCAACACAAGGGAGAGUUGUUGCUAGCUCGAUGGGCCUGUGAUGCCUCAGGCCAGCAGGGUAGAGAUGCCACCUGUAAGUGGGCAUGAGACUGAGGGUGGAUUUAACCAUGGACAGUAUUUCUCAGGCUAUCCAUGAUUCUGAGAGGUGUGCUGCGGUCAAGCAAGCCAAGCAGGUGAAGCCCUUAUGGUAUUGUGCAUGGGAGUCCAAACAUAAGUAUGGGGAGACCUGAGGCCCCCCUGACAAUGGGACUAAUUUCAAGAACAGCCCUAUCAACACCUGGGCUAGGGAACAUGGCAUUGAGAGGGUGUACUAUAUUCCCUACCAUGCACUAGCUGCAGGCAAAGUGGAAAGUUAUAAAGGAAUGUUGAAAACCACCUUGCAAGCAUUGGGUGGGGGAUCUUUCAAAACCUGGGAGUAGCAUUUAGCAAAGGCCACCUGGUUGGUUAACAGCCGAGGCUCAACCAACCAAGCAGGCCCUGCCCAAUCUGAGUCCCUGCAUACAGGAGAUGGAGACAAAGUCCCAGUGGUGCAUGUCAGAGGUUUGUU
rnacentral:lncRNA from 1 species